rnacentral:lncRNA from 1 species
AUGCUGGGAAUCUUAGGUGGGCCGGUCCUCCGCUGGGCUUCUCGGGCCUUUGCGGCGUGCGAGGGGGAGGAUUGGGGGGCCCCCGCUCUGGCAGCUGAGGCUUUCCCUAACUCCUGGGGAGCGGGAAGACCUCGGAGGACCCAUUUCGGACUAAGGAACUCUGAGCGGAAGAUCCAGACUUGUCAUUGUGUUAGUGAAAGCUGGAGGCGGCCCCUCCCCCAGCCUGGAGCCUAUUCUGGAGAGCUGCUCACAGACAACCAGAAUGGUAAGAACCGCAGAGGGGUUUGGGCAGGAGGGUUUGGAACACGUGAUACAGAGUGCAAAGUUCAGCCCGAGGUCAGAGAAGAGAAUGGACUGAGUCGUGCAGAGGAGCCUCUCGUGGGCAGAAACCUGCGAAGGGUCCUGACCAGCCGAGGCUGUGUGGCCUCCUCAGGCCGUCUCUGUGCUCCGCGUUCCCGGACAAUGACACAGACCUGAAGCUGCUGACAUUCUAAUGCACCAACCUCCACCCCUUCCAGCGCUGCGGCCUUUAUUCCACUCUUGACAGACACACUCGGUAGAAUGACUGGUUCCUGAUCACUAAUGUAAAGGCACUGAAAGGACUUUCCUCUCACUGUGACGUCAGACAGAGGGCGGGUCCAUGGAGGCCUUGUAGAGACUUUCGCCCAGACCUGGAGGAAUCCUCAGGCGCAGAGGCUGGGGGGACAGUAGUGAAGGCCGGGAAGAUGCACGGCCAGGAACAAGGAAGUCCCCGGUCGCUGCAUUCAGAGUAGGGAAGGGAAUAAGGGGAGAGGGAAGCUGCUGGGCGGGGGGGGGGGGGGGGGGGGGAAGGGGGGGGGGGACCCCCCCUUCAAGGGGGUGCCCCCCCCCCGGGGGGGUUAAGGGCCCAAGAAGAGUCUUAGGUGAGGAGGGGUUCCU